rnacentral:precursor_RNA from 15 species
UGCUUUUUAAAAAAAACAUCUACAAUUUUCCGGUGCGUCUCUAGUGCAACUCUUGGUUUUUUAUACAAGUAUUGCACUUGAGACGGCCGAAAUAUAGUGGAUCUAAGCGGCUAUAACCGAAA